AUUCACAAGCUGCCUGCUACCUAGAGGUAUGUAGAAAAAACACUUAAAGCUGUGUCUGUCUGAAUCUCCAAAUCUUUCCAAAUUGAUUCAAAAGGUUCCAAUUCGAUUCGGAGAGAUUAAAGGGUCCUUGGAUUCGGAGAUUCAGCCACUGAUGGAUUCGGAGAUUCAGCCACUGAAUUGAAUCAGGGACUGAAGCUUCACACAACCCUAAUAGUUAGUACUAAUAUCACGAGGCUCGAUGGACUUGCUGUGAUAAUCAUUUUCAUAGAUUUGCAAUGAAGUGGUCAUAGGAGUCGCAUUCUGUGGAGCUGCAAACUGGUACCCUAAUAGCACAGACAUUCAAUAAUCCCUUUUCAUGUUUUAUGCAUUGGUUCUUUUGAAGGACCAAGAGAGAAAAGGAAAAAAUUGCCAUUUGUUCUUAGCAAAAGUAUUUUAAACUGGGUGAUAUUAGUUUUGAUACUUGUCCUUUCCCAUUCUUAACCAAAGUUAAAUUAAAUUACUGAUGGUGCUACAAUACACAUAUUUAAAUUCAAACAAAUGUAAUACAUUUAUCCAUCAAGAUGAUGCUGUGGUUCUACCAAAUCACUAACUAUUAAUGAAAAUUUUUCAUAAUACAAAAACAUAAGGUUGGAAAGGGCUCCUGGCCUCUCAGUAACAAGUUGGGUUUUUGGUUAAUUCAACUCUAAUUUUUCAUCCAUUUUGACUACAGUCAUUUUAAAUGAAGACAAAGAAAUAGAUUCUAUUCCAUUUACACAAUUAAGUGGACUACAUUGCUUGAGCCUGAUUCUAUUCCACCUUGUUUGAGUCCCUGAAAACUCAUAAAGAAACCAGGUGGGUAGGUCCUCCUUCCUGCAUUUUUUUUAUAGUUCAAACAAUGGUUAGAUGGAAGUAAGUUAGAAAAGUACGUGUAUGAAUACAUUUUUUAGGGACAUGAGCAAGGUGGAACUGAAUUUGGCCCCAAGUGAAACUUUGUACCUCAUCUUGAUAUAGGAUUUAGAAGAAAGUUUGUUGCUUUUGAAAUGUCAUAAUAGAAUUGUUAGCUUGUACAAUAUUGGUUGGGAAGUUAAGGAAUUCAUAUGCACUUAAUAGAUGCCUUUAGGUACUAGUUUUUGCUCUCUGUUGUGUUGUCUUUCACCACUAACAAAAUACCUGAUACUUGCAUAGGAAGUAAGCCAAGUACUACCAGUAAGUGAAUCUAAACUAAGGAGAAAAUGAAAAGAGACUCAAAUAACUGAAAAUAAAAUGUUGCUUAAUUCCAUUCUUCAAAUAGUGAAGCUAUUAUUCCAAUAAAUUAACUUUAGGUAUGGUUCUACCCUGAGAAGAAGCUGUCUAAAAAUACCUUUUUAUUCAACAUUACCUAAUCUUUGAAUAAAUUCAAAAGUAAAUCUGUUUGCUUGGUUACUACUAGAAGUGCACCAAUAUAUCAGUUGCCUAUUGGAUCAGCACUGAUACAAGGGAAGUUUACAUUAGCGGCUAUCAGCUUUUUUUUUUUUUGGCCAUUGUAGCUGAUAUUGCUUACCAACUGAUUAUGUCUUCCGGCCAGGGCCCUGGACACCUUGGUUCCCUCCCCCCCAUGGGGCUGGGGGCCCUGGGUGCCUGGGUUCCCUCAGGGAAAUGACAGGUUUCCCCUUGCAGGCAGGCAGCAUUCUAGCCGGCAAGGGGUCCUGCUUGGGGCUGCUGGAAGCAAGAUGCUAUGGGCUGCCACCCAGAACACCUAGCCAGGAGUACAGCUGGGCAGCAUAGAGAGCAGCUCCCUGCAGGAGGAAGCAACCUUGACCACCUGAAACCUGAGAUACUGCUUCUGCCUCUGUUCAAGGGAAUUUGCACCAUAACAGAGCCUCACAAGAGAGCUGACAGACACCUUACCAGCUAAGAGCUGCCUGCCCAAAGGAAUUUUCCAUCUCUUGACUCCUCUGUGAAAUCCUAUUAAGUAUGAACUUUCAUUUGUACUCAGGAUAACUUUUACCAUCUUUUCUCUGAUGCCUGAUGAAGGGUGCUUGUGCCCUAAAACUUGCAAUUAAAGAUUUUUUUCCUGCAAAAA